rnacentral:rRNA from 1 species
UAGGGAAUCUUCCGCAAUGGACGCAAGUCUGACGGAGCAACGCCGCGUGAGUGAUGAAGGUUUUCGGAUCGUAAAGCUCUGUUGCCAGGGAAGAAAUUUCAGGAGAGUAACUGCUCUUGAAUUGACGGUACCUGAGAAGAAAGCCCCGGCUAACUACGUGCCAGCAGCCGCGGUAAUACGUAGGGGGCAAGCGUUGUCCGGAAUUAUUGGGCGUAAAGCGCGCGCAGGCGGUCAUUUAAGUUUGGUGUAUAAUUCCGGGGCUCAACCCCGGGUCGCAUCGAAAACUGGGUGACUGGAGUGCGGGAGAGGAAAGUGGAAUUCCACGUGUAGCGGUGAAAUGCGUAGAGAUGUGGAGGAACACCAGUGGCGAAGGCGACUUUCUGGACCGUAACUGACGCUGAGGCGCGAAAGCGUGGGGAGCAAACAGGAUUAGAUACCCCCGUAGUCC